rnacentral:tRNA from 1 species
GCCUUCGUGUUGUAACGGUAGCACACUCGGCACGUAUCCGGGAGGUCCAGGUUCGAGUCCUGGCAAGGGCG